UUAAGUGACUAAGCGUACACGGUGGAUGCCUUGGCAGUUGGAGGCGAUGAAGGACGUACUAACUUGCGAUAAGCCUAGUCAAGCCAGUAAGAGGCGCUUGAGACUAGGAUUUCCGAAUGGGGAAACCCACCUGCUUGCAGGUAUCGUUAACUGAAUACAUAGGUUAACGAGGCGAACGCGGAGAACUGAAACAUCUAAGUACCCGUAGGAAAAGAAAUCAAUCGAGAUUCCGAAAGUAGCGGCGAGCGAAAUCGGACCAGCCCUUAAGCUUUAGUGUAGUUAGUGGAACAUGCUGGAAAGCAUGACGAAACAGGGUGAUAGUCCCGUACACAAAAACUUAUCUAAAGUGAAAUCGAGUAGGUCGGAGCACGUGAAACUUUGACUGAAUAUGGGGGGACCAUCCUCCAAGGCUAAAUACUCCCAACUGACCGAUAGUGAACCAGUACCGUGAGGGAAAGGCGAAAAGAACCCCUGUGAGGGGAGUGAAAUAGAACCUGAAACCGUGUACGUACAAGCAGUAGGAGCCUACUUGUUGGGUGACUGCGUACCUUUUGUAUAAUGGGUCAGCGACUUAUAUUCUGUAGCGAGGUUAACCAUUUAGGGGAGCCGUAGCGAAAGCGAGUCUUAACUGGGCGCUUAAGUUGCAGGGUAUAGACCCGAAACCCGGUGAUCUAGCCAUGGGCAGGUUGAAGGUUGAGUAACAUCAACUGGAGGACCGAACCCACUAACGUUGAAAAGUUAGGGGAUGACCUGUGGCUAGGAGUGAAAGGCUAAUCAAACCGGGAGAUAGCUGGUUCUCCCCGAAAUCUAUUUAGGUAGAGCCUCGGACGAAUACUUACGGGGGUAGAGCACUGUUAAGGCUAGGGGGUCAUCCCGACUUACCAACCCUUUGCAAACUCCGAAUACCGUAAAGUAAUAUCCGGGAGACACACGGCGGGUGCUAACGUCCGUCGUGGAGAGGGAAACAACCCAGACCGUCAGCUAAGGUCCCAAAGUGUAUGUUAAGUGGGAAACGAUGUGGGAAGGCUAAAACAGCUAGGAGGUUGGCUUAGAAGCAGCCACCCUUUAAAGAAAGCGUAAUAGCUCACUAGUCGAGUCGGCCUGCGCGGAAGAUGUAACGGGGCUAAACAUACCACCGAAGCUACGGCUGCGUACGUAAGUAUGCGGGGUAGGGGAGCGUUCUGUAAGUGGCUGAAGGUGUGCCGGGAGGCAUGCUGGACAUAUCAGAAGUGCGAAUGCUGACAUGAGUAACGACAAGAGGAGUGAAAAACUCCUCCGCCGGAAGACCAAGGGUUCCUAUCCCAUGUUAAUCAGGGUAGGGUGAGUCGACCCCUAAGGCGAGGCUGAAGAGCGUAGUCGAUGGGAAACGGGUUAAUAUUCCCGUACUCGGUAUGAAUGCGAUGGGGGGACGGAGCAGGCUAGGCAAGCAUGGCGUUGGUUGUCCAUGUGAAAGGCUGAAGGCUGGUGACUUAGGAAAAUCCGGGUUGCUAAGGCUGAGAGUCGAGACGAGCCACUAAGGUGGUGAAGUUGUUGAUGCCCUACUUCCAGGAAAAGCCUCUAAGCUUCAGUUCAUACUGAAUCGUACCCUAAACCGACACAGGUGGUCAGGUAGAGAAUACUAAGGCGCUUGAGAGAACUCGGGUGAAGGAACUAGGCAAAAUUGUACCGUAACUUCGGGAGAAGGUACGCUCUUGUUUGUGAAGGACUUGCUCUGUAAGCAAACGAGAGCCGCAGUGACCAGGUGGCUGGGACUGUUUAUUAAAAACACAGCACUGUGCAAAAUCGUAAGAUGACGUAUACGGUGUGACACCUGCCCGGUGCCGGAAGGUUAAUUGAUGGGGUUAGCUUAGGCGAAGCUCUUGAUCGAAGCCCCGGUAAACGGCGGCCGUAACUAUAACGGUCCUAAGGUAGCGAAAUUCCUUGUCGGGUAAGUUCCGACCUGCACGAAUGGUGUAACCAUGGCCACGCUGUCUCCACCCGAGACUCAGUGAAAUUGAAAUCGCAGUGAAGAUGCUGUGUACCCGCGGCUAGACGGAAAGACCCCGUGAACCUUUACUACAGCUUGGCACUGAGCAUUGACCCUACAUGUGUAGGAUAGGUGGGAGGCUUUGAAGCAGAGACGCUAGUUUCUGUGGAGCCGACCUUGAAAUACCACCCUUGUAGUGUUGAUGUUCUAACUUAGGCCCCUGAAUCGGGGUUGAGGACAGUGCCUGGUGGGUAGUUUGACUGGGGCGGUCUCCUCCCAAAGAGUAACGGAGGAGCACGAAGGUUUGCUAAGUACGGUCGGACAUCGUACGGUUAGUGUAAUGGUAGAAGCAAGCUUAACUGCGAGACAGACACGUCGAGCAGGUACGAAAGUAGGUCAUAGUGAUCCGGUGGUUCUGAAUGGAAGGGCCAUCGCUCAACGGAUAAAAGGUACUCCGGGGGUAACAGGCUGAUACCGCCCAAGAGUUCAUAUCGACGGCGGUGUUUGGCACCUCGAUGUCGGCUCAUCACAUCCUGGGGCUGAAGUCGGUCCCAAGGGUAUGGCUGUUCGCCAUUUAAAGUGGUACGCGAGCUGGGUUUAGAACGUCGUGAGACAGUUCGGUCCCUAUCUGCCGUGGGCGUUUGAGAAUUGAGAGGGGCUGCUCCUAGUACGAGAGGACCGGAGUGGACGAACCGCUGGUGUUCGGGUUGUGAUGCCAAUUGCAUUGCCCGGUAGCUACGUUCGGAACUGAUAACCGCUGAAAGCAUCUAAGCGGGAAGCAGGCCUCGAGAUGAGUUCUCACUUUGACUUAGAGUCAACUGAAGGGCCGUUGAAGACUACAACGUUGAUAGGCGAGAUGUGGAAGUGCUGUGAGGCAUUAAGCUAACUCGUACUAAUUACCCGUGAGGCUUAACCAU
rnacentral:rRNA from 1 species